rnacentral:lncRNA from 1 species
UCACCUCUAUUUCUCUAGUUUCUCAUCUCCUUCUUCAAUCUAUCUUCUCAUCCCAUUUCUCUUAUCUAUCACUAGUUAUUUCUUCUUGUAUUUCAGAUUGCCUUAAAUAUAGUUUAUCAAGUAUUGUUGUUGUUUACAGAAGUGUAGUUGGUUCAGUUUAUCAAUACAAAGGUGUCCUUGAGAACUAUUGUUAUUGUUCCUUAGUAACCUCUUUGUUACAUUGGUGCUUUCAUCCAGAGGUCUUUAAUGGAGGACCAACAACUCAAGGCUCUAAUUGCAGAAUCAAUGAAAGAAGUAAAGGAUUCAUUCGCCAAGGAUCUCGCUGACAUGCGAGCCUUUUUCCAAGAGAUGGUGGGGAAAAUAGUUCUGAUGGGUGCUCCUUAACGAGAUCCGUUCAUGGAUGCUCCAACGGCACCAACCCUUCGUCAUAAACCAGCUUCGGUUGAGUUGGGUCGUUUUGGUGGUGAAAACCCAGAAGCAUGGCUAUUUCAGGCCGAGCGUUACUUUGAUUUCUAUGGCAUCGCGGCAGCACACAGAUAUACCUUAGCGUCUUUUUACCUUGAUGGAGAAGCCUUGGAUUGGUACCGAUGGUUGUUUCGUAACAAACAACUAGUCGGAUGGGACCAUUUUGUUGAAAAAGUGAAGAUCCGUUUUCAACCAAAAGGGCUUGAGUCAGCGGAGGGAAGAUUGGCGAAGCUCCGUCAGACGACCACGGUAUCAGAGUUCCAGGGACGUUUUGAGGCUAUGGCAAACCAGACCAAUGAUAUCUCAGAGAGGCUGAUGGUUCGUCUGUGCAUCUCUGGGCUAAGAGAGGAUAUUAAGGGUUCUGUACUUGCUCAUGGACCUAAAAGUUUUGAGGAAGCUCUUGAUUUGGCCCAUAUACAUGAGAAGAGGAUCCAGGCGGAAAAGGGGCAUGUUCAACCCGCCUUUGCUAAUAGGAUUCCAGCCUUGCUUCCAAACCCUAGCACCAAAACCUUUCAUGAUCCAUCUUCUAAGUCCAUUGUUCCUGCUUUUUUAUCGACCCCAACACAUAAUAGACCACCACUCAAGCGUUUAACACAAGCUGAGAUCCAAAGCCGUCGAGAGCGUGGUCUUUGUUAUUACUGUGAAGAGAAGUAUACUGUAGGCCAUAAAUGUAAAACCCCACCUCAUCUUCUACUCCUUACGGAUGGGUCAACUAUGGACCCUCUAUUGUUGGACCCUUUUGUCACAGAUGAUAUUUUGGCUCAGGAUUUGCAGUGCUUAGAGUUACAGGAACAUUCCGCUAUUUCCUACAAUGCACUUGCCGGAGGAAGUUCACCUUCUACACUUCGAUUUACAGGGCAAGUGAAUGGAACUUCGAUUCAGAUCUUGGUGGAUGGAGGAAGUACCCAUAAUUUCAUUCAGGAACGAGUGGCACGCUUCCUGCAAUUGUCCACUGAAACCAUCUCUAGCUUCCCUGUUGUUGUGGGGAGUGGCCAGCGCCUCCGCUGUGAUGGAGUGGCCAGAGGCAUCACAGUGUUGAUUAAGGGAACUACACUCAUUGAAGACCUGUAUAUCAUGUCACUACAUGGCGCCGACCUUGUUCUCGGGGUUUCUUGGUUGGCAAAACUAGGUCCAGUGCUCACUAACUAUGCGACGAGAACGUUGGAAUUCAAUGUAGGAGGAAACCAAGUAGUAUGGCAGGGUGAAUCUCCGACUGAUGUGCAACCCGUACAACUGCAUAGCUUAAGAUGAAAGGAAGCUACGGAAGCCAUUGCAUCCUGUUUUUGUCUGGAGAUAGUUACUGGAUAUAACUCUGUUAUAGAGCAGCCUACUGUGGAAUUAGCAACUUUGUUAGAACUAUAUGCUGAUGUAUUUCAAAAACCAUCGGGAUUGCCACCUUCCCGUAUCCAGGACCAUGCUAUACAUCUCAAUUCUGGGGCACAACCAGUGAAUGUUAAAUCCUAUAGGUAUCCUUAUUUUCAGAAACAUGCCAUGGAGCAAAUGGUUUCUGAGAUGCUUAAAGAAGGGGUGAUACGGGCUAGCACCAGCCCAUUCUCAUCGCCGGUGUUGCUGGUUCGAAAGAAAGAUGGCACUUGGCGUUUUUGUGUUGACUAUCGAGCGCUCAAUGCAAUCACAGUGAAGGAUCGGUUCCCAAUCCCAACUAUUGAUGAAUUAUUUGACGAAUUGCAUGGGGCUCAUUAUUUUUCUAAGCUUGAUCUACUCUCAGGUUACCACCAAAUUCGUGUGACGCCUUAGAACGUGUCUAAAACAGCCUUUCGAACUCAUGAUGGUCACUAUGAGUUCUUAGUAAUGCCGUUUGGAUUAACUAAUGCUCCUUCAACCUUCCAGGCAAAAAUGAAUGAGAUUUUCAGGCCGCACUUGCGUCGCUUUGUUCUCGUAUUUUUUGACGAUAUCUUGGUCUACAGCCCUUCUUGGAACACUCAUUUGGAGCAUGUGGAGACUGUCUUACAAUUACUACGACAACAUCAAUUAGGGGCUACGCGCUCUAAGUGUUUGUUUGGGCAGCCAUCAGUUGAUUACUUGGGCCACAUUAUUUCGGCGCAAGGCUUGGCAGUGAAUCCGAAUAAAAUUGAGGUGAUACAACAAUGGCACCCUCCUAAAACAGUAAAAGAGGUGCGUAGUUUCCUUGGACUUGCUGGGUAUUAUCGACGUUUUAUUCACCAUUUUGCAGCAAUAGCAGGGCCACUGUAUAACUUGCUGCGGCGAGACUCCUAUCAAUGGACAGAGGCAGAGCAACAGGCCUUUGACACUCUUAAGGCCAAACUGGUUUCUACUCCUAUCUUAUGUCUGCCUGACUUUGGCCAAGAAUUUCAGGUUGAGACUGAUGCGUCGGGGCAAAGCAUUGGUGCUAUACUUUCUCAAAAGGGUCAUCCAAUUGCAUACUUCAGUCAACAAUUGAGCGCCCAAAUGCAAAAGGCAUCACUUACCAUCGAGAAAUGUUUGUAAUAACUCAAGCUGUGAGUAAAUGGAGGCAAUACUUGUUGGGGCGCAAAUUCACUAUUAUUACUGAUCAACAAUCAUUGAAGAGCCUCACAUCAGACUAUUCAAACUCCUGAGCAACAAAAAUGGCUCACGAAGUUAGUGGGGUUUGAUUUCCAGAUAGUCUAUAGGCCUGGGAAACAGAAUGCUGCUGCAGAUGCACUUUCUUGUAACUUUGAGGCAGCCUAUAUGACCAUCUCUAUUACGUCACUUGAACUAGAACAAGAAUUGAGACAACUAAAUGCUAAUCACUCGGAGUUACUAGCAAUACAACAAGCGAAACAAAGAUCGGAUGAGGACUUUGUUGAUUACCAGUUUAAGGAGGGGAUAUUAUUUUACAAAGGUCGGAUAGUAAUUCCUACUGAUUCACCUUUGCGCCAUAAGCUGAUGUUUGAGUUUCAUGCCACUUCUAUUGGGGGUCAUGCUGGGGUUACUCGGACUUACCAUUGAUUGGCCUCCAACUUCUUUUGGAAGCAUAUGCGCAAGGAUGUCCAGUCUGUUGUCGCAACUUGCUACAUUUUUUUUUAUGACAAGUUUAACCCGCAGCCGCUACCCUUUGGGUGCGCACAGGGUAAAACCCCCGCUCCUAUGCAAUAGCUCGCAAACCACAUAGGAGAGGUAACCUGCACUAGGCAAGCCCGGUGCGACAAGCUCAACCCAGAAGACAAACCCCUUGCUUUCGUUGGCAAGGGGUUUCGAACUUGAGACCUUCAUCAUGGAAGUCCCAAGCCCAAACCACUGGGCCACCCCGAAUGGUGCAACUUGCUACAUUUGCCAACAGAUGAAAGACUCUCACUUGCACCCGGCAGGUUUACUUCAGCCUUUGCCAAUACCGGACCAAGUCUUUGAGGAUAUUGCCAUGGAUUUUAUCACUUGCCUUCCUAGCUCCAAAGGCAAGACUACCAUCAUGACUGUGGUGGAUCGUCUCACCAAAUAUGGGCAUUUUAUACCCUUACCAUCCACCUUCUCAACUUAUACGGUAGCUGAAGCAUUCGUGAUUUGGGUUAUCAGGUUACACGAAACCCCUUGAACUGUUGUAACUGAUCGAGAUCCUCGCUUUCUGCACUCUUUUUGGCAGGAGAUUCAUCAUUUGCAGGCAUCCACGUUGGCAAUGAGUACAGCUUUUCACCCUCAAACGGAUGGCCAAUCUGAGGCCCUCAACAAGUGUGUUGAGCAGUACCUAAGAUGCUAUGUUGCUGAUGUUCCUGCUACUUGGGUUUCCAUGUUGCCUUGGGCAGAGUUCUGGUACAAUACUUCGUACCAAACUUCCGCUGGAAUGACACCUUUUCAGGCUUUGUAUGGGCGUGAGCCUCCUACUGUUGCACGAUAUAUAUUAGGAAGUACAUCCAGUGAGUUAGUAGAGUCCUUCUUGCUGCAGAGGGACAAAGUGUUACAACUACUCAAGCAUAAUUUGGUAAAAUCUCAGAAUCGCAUGAAGGCUUUUGCAGAUAAAUCUCGCACUGAGAUUACAUAUGAGGUAGGGGAUUGGGUCUUUGUGAAGCUUAAACCUUACAAGCAGUCUACUCUGCGUUUGCAACGCGAUCACAAGUUGGGGAGGCGCUACUUUGGGCCUUACAAAAUUCUGAAACGUGUAGGUGUCGUGGCUUACAAAUUGGAUCUUCCCGAGGCUGCCAAAAUUCAUUCUGUGUUCCAUGUUUCUGCCUUGAAACGAUGUGUUGGUGAACCAGUUCAACAAGUCACUCCAUUGCAGCUCACAGACACAACAUCUUUAGCAGAUCAACCUAAUCCCAACCUUGAGGACAAGGUUGUUUUUCAGGGAGGGAGUAUUGUUGUGAACAAGAGGAAUCAAGUUGCUGACCUGGAUGACAUGGGGGAUGCCACGGAGAAUAAUCGCAUGGAUAUGCCACGUAAGAGUUCUAGAAGAGUAAUUCCUCCUAAAAGACUUGGCGAUUACGUUUGGAAGAGUGGGAGGUCACGUGACAAAGGACAAAGUUUGCUGCAACAAAAUGUAUAAACAGAAUAAGGACUGGGCAUAAUGGGGCAAACAAAAUCAUGAUGGAUCUUUCUGAUUUCUCACCUCUAUUUCUCUAGUUUCUCAUCUCCUUCUUCAAUCUAUCUUCUCAUCCCAUUUCUCUUAUCUAUCACUAGUUAUUUCUUCUUGUAUUUCAGAUUGCCUUAAAUAUAGUUUAUCAAGUAUUGUUGUUGUUUACAGAAGUGUAGUUGGUUCAGUUUAUCAAUACAAAGGUGUCCUUGAGAACUAUUGUUAUUGUUCCUUAGUAACCUCUUUGUUACACC